CCCGACUCUAAGGUCUCCUUGACAAACAUCAUGAGCACUGUCCUAGGGCCUCACAACAAGGACCUGGAGGAGGGGAAACUGUCUGCGGUAGGCAGACCAGCUGGCAAAGGCAGCAGAAAACUACCUGAGCGAAGGCUCCACAGGAUAUCUGUCACCUCUAACAGAGGCCGGGGCAGGGGCAACCGAGCCUACACUCCACAGGGCACCGCAGGGGUGAGAGGUGUGUGAAGGUCCACACGUGUCUGAGGACAGGACAGAAGUGGAGGAACAAGAGGGCUGGGCAGCACAGAUCCAGAACUUAGGCCAUUAGCAAAGCGCAAGCAUACAUAAUACUAAGGAUAGACCUCAAGGAAUUCUCACUUAUAACCAGCAGCUGUGUGAAGAUCAUGACCCAGCUCUAAGAGGCACCCAGCACUGUGGUUUCUGUUAGCAUGGAUUCACCUUGUGUACUCCUAAUCUGUCUACGGGGCACUGACCAGUGUCUAUGUGGGAAUGGACGUUGUAAUUCACCCAGAUUUUCCAGCUGCCCCUUCUGACUCUGCGUGUCGUCAGGGAACCACCAUUCUACCAGGAUCCUAAUAGGAUGUCUGUCCUCCUGUCACUGACAAAGUCUGGCCUUGCUUCCCAUUUGGACAAUUAGAGUCAGUGAUGCUGAAAACAUUGCGGAGCAAGGCUUCUGGGACACACCUGCCUGUCAUUCCCUGUGUCAGUCUCAAAGCUGGCUUGGUGGAGCCAAGUCUCAAGUGGGGGGUGGAGCUUUAGCGACAAUGCUGGUUUUCAAGGUGGCUAAGCCAGCUUACACUCCCACAGGCAUGGAUGGAAAUUUGCCUGCUCCAUGGUCUUGCCAUCAUUUCUCCUUCCUAUUAGCUAUUCCGGUGAAGAGGUGUUCACAGGAUAAGCGUGCCAGUCACUGUAGAGAAGGGAACAGUGACAGUGCCUCUCAAAUUUACAGACCUGAGGUGAGUACGAGACAAGUGUGAUAUGGUUGCCUAUCUUCAUAAAACCCUGAACAGAGGACACUAAAGCACUGUAGGAAAGGACACACAGGUCAAUUCAAGUGCAAGAGGGAUACACAGAAGAAAGUGGAGACUAAUACACCCCAAGAGCUGAGAGCAAGAUAGUGAUGAUCCUGUUGGUUUCUUACUUUUUCCACAACUAAUAUUUAAUAAAUAAAGAUUUUAAAACAGAA